rnacentral:rRNA from 1 species
GCUUGUCUCAAAGAUUAAGCCAUGCAUGUCUAAGUAUAGUACCUUAUACUGCGAAACUGCGAAUGGCUCAUUAAAUCAGUUAUAAUUCAUUUGAUGGUACUUACUACUCGGAUAACCGUAGUAAUUCUAGAGCUAAUACAUGACUAAAAGGGCUAGCCCUGCAUUUAUUAGAUACAACCAACCCUUCGGGUUUUGGCGAAUCAUAAUAACUGAGCGGACCGUAUUCGUACGGCGUUUCUUAUUAAUUUCUGCCCUAUCAGCUUUCGAUGGUAGGGUAUUGGCCUACCAUGGCGUUAACGGGUAACGGAGAAUUAGGGUUCGAUUCCGGAGAGGGAGCCUGAGAGAUGGCUACCACAUCCAAGGAAGGCAGCAGG